rnacentral:misc_RNA from 1 species
GAUGAAGAACGUAGCGAAAUGCGAUAAGUAAUGUGAAUUGCAGAAUUCCGUGAAUCAUCGAAUCUUUGAACGCACAUUGCGCCCCCUGGUAUUCCGGGGGGCAUGCCUGUCCGAGCGUCAUUGCUGCCCUCAAGCACGGCUUGUGUGUUGGGCCUCCGUCCUCCUCCCGGGGGACGGGCUCGAAAGGCAGCGGCGGCACCGCGUCCGGUCCUCGAGCGUAUGGGGCUUCGUCACCCGCUCUUGUAGGCCCGGCCGGCGCUUGCCGACACAUCAAUCUUUUUUCCAGGUUGACCUCGGAUCAGGUAGGGAUACCCGCUGAACUUAAGCAUAUCAAUAAGCGGAGGA